CCUACGGGAGGCAGCAGUGAGGAAUAUUGGUCAAUGGGCGUAAGCCUGACCCAGCCACGUCGCGUGAGGGAUGAAGGUUCUCUGGAUCGUAAACCUCUUUUAUAAGGGAGUAAAGUGCGGGACGUGUCCCGUUUUGUAUGUACCUUAUGAAUAAGGAUCGGCUAACGCCGUUCCGGCAGCCGCGGUACUACGGAGGAUCCGAGCGUUGUCCGGAUUUAUUGGGUUUAAAGGGUGCGUAGGCGGCCUUUUAAGUCAGCGGGGAAAGUCUGUGGCUCAACCCUAGAAUGGCCGGUGAAACUGGGAGGCUUGAGUAUGUAUGAGGAAGGCGGAAUGCGUGGUGUAGCGGUGAAAUGCGUAGAUAUCACGCAGAACCCCGAUUGCGAAGGCAGCCUGCUGGGCCGUGACUGACGCUGAUGCACGAAAGCGUGGGGAUCAAACAGGAUUAGAUACCCGGGUAGUC
rnacentral:rRNA from 1 species